AUGGUGUUCUGCAGUGUAACGGUGAUGGGGCGGGGCUGGAAGUAUCAUGAUGGCGACCUAUGUCGUCGAGAUGGUUCGGCCACCAGGGCGAGAACGAUGUGGACACCGGAUCUAGGUCAGCACGCCGGGAUGGCCCGAGGUGUUCUCGAGACGGCGGCCAGGGCGAGGACGGCAUGGACAGCGGAUUUGGGCAAGUCGCCAGGGCGGGCCGAGGUUUCCCCAAGAUGGCACGGCCACGGGGGCGAGGACGGCGCGGACACCAGGGGCCAGGACGGUCGCCAGGCGGGCCGAGGUUUCCUCAAGACAGCACAGCCACCGGGGCGAGGACGGUGGGGCAAGGGCCGGUUCGUGGUCUGGUGGCGGCGUCGAUCACGGACGUAUUGUUUUUUGAGGAGGCGGAUGCAUUGUUCAAUUCCUUGUGGAGGUAGCAUCGUGGGGUUGUCUAGCUCCUGUGCGGGGGCAGUCUGCCGACAGAACAUUUUUUCUUAA
rnacentral:rRNA from 1 species